GUGGCCCUUAAAAAAAAAAAAAAAAAAAAAGACUUCCCAUCCCAAACUCUUGGUUUGGGACACAUGCUCCUCUCGUGUGUAUUGUAUCACACUGGGUCCCCUGUGGGAGUUGGAGGAGGGGGGAUUGUGCAGGUGAGGAAGCCAAGAACCGGAGGUGCUGGGCUUGAACGAAGAUGGUGAAGCACCAAGUCCAGAAUUAGCCACUGGUAGAGCCCGUAGAAUUGACUUCAGUGUCACACACUGUUCACAUCCCCUCCUCCCGUUAAUGGUGAACGAGUGCCGUCUGCCGGCUGCUGGAUGUACAGCGGACAACAAGAUGAGCAUCCGUCUGUACUAGCUCUGUACCAGUAACAGCGGGUGAAGCAUGCGCUUGUGCCCUGGAGGAGCUGGUAUGAGCCCGAUGGAACCCAGGGGUCAACAUGAUGGGACAGAUGCUAUUUAAGUUGUGGAAGCAUGGAGGAGGGGCUCCUGUCCCAGCCUGGGAGCUCAGGGAUGUUUCCCAGGGAAGGUGAAGCCUGAGCUGGGAAUCCCAGUGGAUUAGGAGAUAGACACGAGCCAGCCAGAGAAGGUGAGAAAGACACGGAAGCAUGAGCAGCAUGGGCACACGUGCGUCAGCUGCAGGAGCGAGCAGGAGCGGGAGGAGGCGAGGAGCCUGAAUACCAGCUUGAGCAUCUUCGACUGUAUCCUCUGGGCGAUGGGAAGCCCCUGGAGGGUUUAAAGCAAAGGAGAUGAUUCAGGGUUUUCACUUCAGAAAGAGGAUUGUGAAGCUUUAGUGUGGAGCAUGGAUUUUAGGGCGGUGAAGGCCAAUUUGGCCUCUUCAGUCGUCUAAGCAAGGGUGAGAGGGACGUAACAUCAGCGUGACUUGAUGGUUGACUGGAUGUCAGGGUGGAAUGAUAGUCAAGAGUGUUGCCUAGUUUCCUGAGGCCUGGGGAGAUGCCAGUCCUGUGGGCUGACACCGGAUUAAGAAAAGGAGAAACAUGUUUGAGAAGAUGAUGCAUUAAGGCUUGGUCUUGGCAUAGCCGAGGUCUCUAUAGCACAAGAGAGCAGAGAAGCCAAGUGAGCAGUUGGAUAUGAAGGCCUGAAGCUCUGGAGACACACACUGGAGGCUCAUUAGCAUGGCGUGUGCACACAGAGCCAGAACCACACCUCAGCUCUGGCCACCGUGACUACUCUUCCUGCUACCCCCGUGCCUCUGGUGACUUGUCUAAAGCUGCCUCCCGGGAAGGAAGGAUUUUCUGUUUGCCCAACUGCUAGUUUGUCUUCACCUCAGCUCUUCCUGGGCACUCUUCCAGCCCCACCCGACCAGAAUGCCUCCUCCUCCGCUGCAGGGCAGGCAGCAUCCACCAGAUGGCUCUCUGUCUUAGCCUUGGAGGGAGUGGACCCCAAAGUUGGGGCCUAAGGGUGAGGGAGGUGGCAGGAGGGUCCUGGACGCUCAUAAAUGAACUCCUCAUCCUGACCCCAGCCUCACGUCUGACUGUGAACCCUGAAAUCAAAGACGAACACAAGUUAAGAUCAAAAUAAGCCCACAUGUGGCUUUAGACUAGUGCCUAGUCCGAUGAGGCAGCUGCUUGGGGAACACUGGUGGGGUGGCACUGCCCACAAUUUGAGGCUGCUCCGGGGGUGGAGGACGGCAUCCAGCCUGCAGCAGGCUGCUGAGUUAAGCUCUGUACCAGUAAUACAGACUCCAGCGGUCUGUCCUCAGAAUCCACCUCCUGCUCCCUGGCCUCAUGAGCAUUGAUCGAAGCUGCCCUGUUUAGAGAAGGCCAAGCGAAGUCUGGACACUGGGCCACAACAUCAACACUUAGAGAACCAGGCGUUGUCUGGCUCCAGGAACCUGGGGCAAACAAUUCUGUCCUCGUAGCUCUGAAGGCUUGUCAUGGAACUUUCGCCGGGUGUGCGCAGAGGGCAGAAGUCAGUUUGAUGGGAGGAACCUCGUAUCAUUCCUCUCCCCAUGACAGAGCACUGGGGCUCCCCCAGCGGUAGGUUUGCGAGCAGCGAGAGGACCACGGUUGGAGGUAGCAGACUGGUUAUCUUCCAAAGUCACUGCCAUUUCGGGUCCUGUGAUCCCUACAUGGAUUAAUUCAGCAGAGGGUGUACCAGGUACCCCUCAACGUGACUGUCUUUGAACCCCAGUUUUAAAUACGCGCUCCAUGCAGUUUGGGAAAACCAAGGAGACUGGCCUUUUGGGGCUUGGAUGUGCCUCUUCCCCCAACCCCCCACCCCCCGCUCAGCAAGGAGUGCAAUGCCUGGUGUAUGUGUGCACAGACACGUAUACACACGCACGGAUAUGUAGACGUGCUAAACAAUAGGAGAUGCUCAAUAUUUAACGACUGAAUGAAAGCCAGGGCCUCGGCACAGGUUCUGUUGUGUGCUGUGGCGUUAACCUUGGCCGUGACAGCUUGCGCCUGUCCUCAUUCUGAAGACACCUCAGAUGGCACAGCUACACCUCCCGACUCAGAGCUAGGAAUUCCCAGGGCAGAGGGGGGAGCCGUACUUCUUCCCCUGUCGCCUCGGCUCUCUGCCCACAGCCAUCACUGCAGCGAGACCCCCGUGAAACAUGGGCUGCAUCCGUCAGCAGCGAGGCCCGCGUAAUAAGGAAGAUCCCGGCAGGCGGAUGUGUGCUGUGAGAACAAAUGGGAGGAACUCUUGUGGCCGAUGUCAGCCCAAGCAGUGGCCACGGAUCACCUGAGAGAGAAGAUCAAAGCCAGACGGGGGGUCUAGGAUCCAUGAUGUCAACCUGUGCUGCUGUGUUGGUGAAAGAGCCCGUGACAAAGAUGGCAAGACUUCCCUGGGAGGGAGGACACUGGCUUGAGAACACGAUACUGCUGAGAGCCUCCCUGUGUCCCCUCCUGAGAGGUACGAGCUGCCCAUUCACAAGCACGAGGAUUGAAACGGGAAUGUGUGUGGGUGGCACUGGAACCUGCAGUGAGUGUGGGUGAUGAUGGAGUAAACUGGAUGUGACUGGAAUGCAUAUAAAAUUUGUCAGCUAUAUAAACUGGAGUCAGCCAG